rnacentral:rRNA from 1 species
CACGUAGGCGGCUUUGCAAGUCUGACGUGAAAUCCCUCAGCUCAACUGAGGAAGUGCAUCGGAAACUGCAAGGCUUGAGUACUGAAGAGGAUCGCGGAAUUCCCGGUGUAGAGGUGAAAUUCGUAGAUAUCGGGAGGAACACCAGUGGCGAAGGCGGCGAUCUGGGCAGAUACUGACGCUGAGGUGCGAAAGCGUGGGGAGCAAAC